rnacentral:rRNA from 1 species
UACGGGGGGAGCAAGCGUUGUUCGGAUUUACUGGGCGUAAAGGGCGCGUAGGCGGCGCAACAAGUCACUUGUGAAAUCUCCGGGCUUAACCCGGAGCGGCCAAGUGAUACUGUCGUGCUAGAGUGCGGAAGGGGCUACUGGAAUUCUCGGUGUAGGCGGUGAAAUGCGUAGAUAUCGAGAGGAACACCUGCGGCGAAGGCGGGGUAGCUGGGCCGACACUGACGCUGAGGCGCGAAAGCCAGGGGAGCGAACGGG